CCAGGUAUUUUUGUUUUUGUUCUAGAUUUCCAGCAUCCGCAGUAUUUUGCUUUUAUCUAAGAGUUUUGUAGUCACUGGGAACAACACAUUUUCAUGGGGCACAGGUAGACUUGUGUGUGUCUCAGGCCUGGACUGUGUAUACUAGGUGAAAGGGGGUGGUGGGGGGAACACUUUAAACACAAGAAUACAUGAAUUAGGAGCAGGAGUAGGCCAUUCGGCCCCUCGAGCCUGCUCCGUCAUUCGAGAAGAUCAUGACUGGCCUGAUUGUGGCCUCAACCGCACUUUCCCAUUUGUCACCCCCUCCCAUAUCCCUUGUCGAUCAAAAAUCUAUUUAACUCAGCCUUGAAUAUAUUCAGUCACCCGGUCUCCACUGCUCUCUGAGGAAGAGAACUCCACGGACCAACGACCCUCUGAGAGAAAAAAAAUUCUCAGUUUUAAAUGGGAGGCACCUAAUUUUUAUAGUGCAUCCUCUAGUUCAAGACUCCUCCACAAGGGGGUGCAAGCUCCCCACAUCCACACUGUCAACUCCCUGAGGAUGUCAUAUGUUUCAAUAAGAUAACCCCUCAUUCUGCUAAACUCCAAUGAGUCUAGGCCCAACUCGCUCGACCUUUCCUCCUAAGGCAACCCCUUCAUCCCAGGAAUUAGUCGGGUGAACCUUCUCUGAACUGCUAAUGCAAUUAUAUCCUUUAAUAUAAUUAUAUAAUUCCCUCUUGUGUUGCACUGCACAUCUCAUGGACAUUCAGUUCCAGCCCCUCUAAGUGUACAGUAAAAGGGGGAGUUCCAGCCCCUCUAAGUGUACAGUAAAAGGGGGAGUUCCAGCCCCUCUCAGUGUACAGUAAAAGGGGGAGUUCCAGCCUCUGUUUACAGUAAAAGGGGGUAAUUUGCUGUGUGACAGCUGUCUGCCUCCUUCUCUGUCUCUUUUUCUCUCUGUGCCCCUUUCCCUCUUGUGUGUCUCUCUGUCACCCAUGCACUGUCAUGUGCACUCUUUCUCUCUGCGUCUGUCAUGCAGGUGCUCUCUCUACGUCUUUAACGCACAUGCACUCUCCCCCUCUAUGUCUUGUCGUGCGUGCUCUCCUCCCGCUUGUUCUCUUCCUGUCUCUGCCUCGCUUUGGCUCCAUCUCACUCUGUCUCUCUCUCUCUCUCUUUCUGUUUCCCUACCUCUCUCUGUCCCUCUCUCUGUCUCUCUCCCCCCUCUCUCUCAUGCUGUUUAUAACCAGGUGGAAACUGCUAGUGAGGGUGAACCCGGAUUUCACUUUCAGCAGCCGCACCAACUUGGUAAAUGAGGUGUUAGGUCCCCGUUUAUAAGGCUAACAGCGUAAGGGCCCUCCACCUGAACCAUUACCUCUUGUUUCUCUCCCCACAGAGGCUGCCUGAUUUUCUGUUUCUUUCAGAGUUCCAGCAGCCGCCGCAUUUCACUGCGACCUAAGAGGGAGAGCUGGCUGUGCAGCACCUAGAUACGGCACCAAAGGACCCUGACGCUGUCACACUUUGUGUGAAAGAAUGCGGGGAGCGAGCAUUCUACUCUGGUGCCACGGACACUCGAAGUGACCACGAGAACAGAAUCAGGAGUCUCGAAGGCAGAGACAGUAGUAAGGCGCAUCUCAAAGAGUUUCCCUGGCAAGUGACCAUAACACACUGGAGGAAGCACCACUGUGGAGGCUCCCUUAUUAAUGAAUACUGGGUUGUAACUACAGCCCAGUGUGUGGCAAAUAGAUCAUCCAAAAAUUUACAAGUUGUCGCUGGGACGGUUGACAUCACUCAUCAAGAAAACACCCACACUGUGGAAAAAAUAAUCUCGCAUGAGAAUUACAACCCAAUCAGCUCUUGGAAUGAUAUCGCCUUGCUGGAGCUGACACAACCGGUCAAUUAUAGUGACCUGGCCAGUCCGGUCUGUUUCCCGGAUGCUGCCUAUGUGGACCCUGACCUUCUGGGCAUUUGCUGGACCACAGGCUGGAGACACAUGCAGGCGGAUAGGGUCCUAGGAGGCACCCCAAGAUUGGUCCACCCGGUAGAUGAUUGACCACCCACAUGCUCACGGAAUGAACGCUCCGAUCUAGUGGCAACCAAGGUUCAGCUCAGUCUCAGAAGGCCUGGCACUCGAGAGGGAUGACCCCAACUCUAAUCCGAUCCAGUGACCCACGCAGCCAAGGGACAGCCGACAGGGGAAAUGACCUCCUGAACCGCUGGAGGACCCUGGGAGAAACAGUGCUCCCCACAAGACUGACACCAGUAUCAGAUAUUGAAGGAGGCUUUCCAAUUUCCAUAGCUGCCCUUGGCCCUUUACCUCUGAGGUCCUGUGUUGGGAGGCUCAGAAUAAUACCCAAUCCUUUGGCUCUGUACUUUCUCUCCAGAACUGAUCUCAAAAUAUCUGUAGAAAGGCUCCAAUGGGAUGCGGAACAGCUUGCUCAUAUGGGUGUGGAUCAGUUAUCUCGAACUAUGGCUUUCUUUUGCAAAUGAAGAAUUAUACUUGUGUGCAAAAAUAAACAU